AUGGCUGUUCGCCAUUUAAAGUGGUACGCGAGCUGGGUUUAGAACGUCGUGAGACAGUUCGGUCCCUAUCUGCCGUGGGUGUAGGAAUAUUGAGAGGAGCUGUCCUUAGUACGAGAGGACCGGGAUGGACGAACCAAUGGUGGACCGGUUGUUGCGCCAGCAGCAUAGCCGGGUAGCUAAGUUCGGAUCGGAUAACCGCUGAAAGCAUCUAAGCGGGAAGCCCCUUCCAAGAUGAGAUCUCCCUGGACCCUUGAGGUCCCUGAAGAGCCGUUCAAGACCAGGACGUUGAUAGGUCGGGUGUGUAAGCGCUGCGAGGCGUUGAGCUAACCGAUACUAAUUGCUCGU
rnacentral:rRNA from 1 species